rnacentral:rRNA from 1 species
UACGUAGGGGGCUAGCGUUGUCCGGAUUUAUUGGGCGUAAAGAGCGUGUAGGCGGCCAAGUAGGUCCGGUGUGAAAACUCGAGGCUUAACCUCGAGAUGUCAUCGGAAACCAUUUGGCUAGAGUCCGGAAGAGGAAAGUGGAAUUCCUGGUGUAGCGGUGAAAUGCGCAGAUAUCAGGAAGAACACCGAUGGCGAAGGCAGCCUUCUGGGCCAACACUGACGCUCAUGCACGAAAGCGUGGGGAGCAAACAGG